rnacentral:lncRNA from 1 species
AUUUUAGAAUACUUACAAAUAUCUUUCCCAGCUGGCUAAGAAGAAAUCUAAGAGAUCUGAAAGAAAUGCUGGAGCAGCAAUGUAUUUGAAAAUAUACCAACAGUUUGAGAAUUCAUAAAGUGUAAAAUGAUUGUAGUAACGGCCAAGAUGAAGCAUAACUUAUAGCUUGUAAUGGUAAUACCUAAAACUCUGGAGAAAAUAUGAAGAGAAACUGGGAAAACUCUCAAACAGUAACAGACAGAUUGAGGAUGGAAGUCAAAAUGGGAAAAGAAUCCAGGAUAGUGGUGCUGACUGGUGUUGGCAAUUGUUUCUGACAGAAGAUGAGCCACUUUUCCUAUUAUUCAACUUUUUCAGUUAACUGAUCUACUACCAACCUCACCUGCACGUGAUAGAAGGCUUUUUGCUGUGCUGGCUACAGACUACAAUUCUAAAGACACAGGGUAUGGCAUAAAGGUGUUGCAUGCUAACUGCUUAGGUAGUACUUUGCUGCUUUGAAACAGGAAAAAAUGUUUUUGCUUCUCAGUUUAAAAAAGGAAAUAGAAGGUAAUCAUUCAAAGUACAAAAAGACAACUCACGGGAACCAAAACUAACCUCACACGUGCACAUUUGUCAACUACCCUGUAGAAACUAAUAUAUUUAACUUGUCACAUAGUACCACUCAACUUCUGGGAAAUCACCAAAUGUGUUAUUUAAACUCAGUCUAUGCUUAAGGGAAUACUUUAUUUAAAAGAGCCAUUUUUAUUGGGAAAUAUAAGAAGUUAGAACUUCAUAGCCCUAAGGUCCUAUUCUA